UCCUAGACCUAGUAUCAGUGGCCAAAGAAACUUUUUUGGAAGCUUGGACCAACUAGCUGGCU
ensembl:miRNA MIR6079 microRNA 6079